AAUGACCUUCUUUUCUUUUUACUAUUUUUGACUUAAAAUCUGUUUACCUGAUAUAAAGGUAGCUACUCCUGCUUGCUUUUGGUUUUUGUUUGCAUGGAAUAUCUUUUGCUAUCCCUUUACUUUCAGUCUAUAUGUGUCUUUACAGGUGAGACAAGUUUCUUUUAAGUGGCAUAUAUAUGGGCCAUGUCUUAUGUGUUUUUUUAUUUUUUUGUAUAUAUUCAGCCAGUCUAUAUCUUUUAAGUGGAAAGUUUAAUCCAUUUACAUUCAAUGUUUUUAUCGAUAUGUGAGGCUUAUUCCUCUCAUUUCAUUAAUUGAUUUCUGAUUGCUUUGCAUGUCUUUUAUUCUUUCCAUUAUUAUUGUUAUUAUUAUUAUUAUUAUUAUUUUGAGACAGGGUCACACUCUGUCACUUAGGCUGGAGUGCAGUGGCGUGAUCUUGGCUCACUGCAAUCUCUGCCUCCCAGGUUGGAGCAAUUCUCUUGCCUCAGCCUCUCUAGUGGCUGGGACUAUAGGUGCUUGCCACCACACCCAGCUAAUUUUUGUAUUUUGAGUAGAGACAGGGUUUCACCAUGUUGGCUAGGCUGGUCUCAAGUUCCUGACCUUAGGUGAUCCACCCACCUUGGCCUCCUAAAGUGGUGGGAUUACAGGUGUGAGCCACUGUGUCUGGCCUGUUCUUUCUUUCUCUUACUGUUUAAUGAGAGAAAGAAAGUGGUUUGGUGGUUUUCUGUAGUGGUAACAUUUGAGUCUGGUCUUUUCCUUGUUUGUGUGUUUCCUCUACCAGUGGCUUUUAUAUUUUUGUGUAUUUUCAUAAUGGUAGAUAUUGUUCUUUUACUUCUGGUUAUAAGACUCCCUUAAGCAUUUCUUUUAGGGCCAAUUUAGUGGUGAUGAACUCUCUCAGCUUUUGCUUGUCUGUGAAAUACUUUCUCUUUUGUUUAUGAAGGAUAACUUUUCUGGGUAUAGUAUUCUUGGAUGACAGGUUUUUUGUUUGUUUCUUUGUUUGUUUUUCUUUCAGCACUUUGAAUAUAGUAUUUCAUUCUCUCCUGGCCUAUAAGGUUUCUGCUGAGAAAUCCACUGUAGUCCAAUGGGGGUUUCCUGUAUAAGUGACUAGGUUACUUGCUGUUUUUAGAAUUCUGUCUUUGCCUUUGAUAUUUUACAUUUUAACUAUAUAAUGUGCUGUGGAGAAGACCUUUUUGAAUUGUCUCUAUUUGGGAAUCUCUAGGCCUCCUGUAUCUGGAUGUCUAAAUUUCCUGCUAUACUUGGGAUGUUUUUUUUUUUUUUUUUUUUUUUGAGAUGGAGUCUCACACUGUCACCCAGGCUGGGUUACAGUGGCGCAAUCUCCGCUCACUGCAACCUCUGCCUCCUGGGUUCAAGAAAUUAUCCUGCCUCAGCCUCCCAAGUAGCUGGGAUUACAGGCACCUGCCACCACACCUGGCUAAUUCUUUGUAUUUUUUAGUAGAGAUAGGGUUUCAUUAUGUUGGCCAGGCUGGUCUUCAACUCCUGACCUUGUGAUCCUCCCACCUCGGCCUCCCAAAGUGCUGGUAUUACAGGUGUGAGCCACUGUGCCUGGCCUGCUUGGGAAGUUUUUAUGUAUUAUUUCAUUAAAUAGGUUUUCUAGCCCUUUCAUUCUCUCUUUGCCCUCUGGGACAUCAAAAAUUCAAAAAUUUGGUUGCUUUAUGGUGUUUCAUAUGUCAUUGUAGGCUUUGUUUAUUCUUUUUUUGUUCUUUUUAUUUUUGUCUGCGUUUUUCAAAAGACCUGUCUUCAAGUUCUGAGAUCCUUUCUUCUGCUUGAUCUAGUCUGUUGUUGGAGCUUUCAAAUGCAUUUUGUAUUUCGUUCAAUAAGUUCUUCAGUUUAGAAUUUCUGUUCAGUUCUUUAUUAUGAUAUCUAUCUUUGGUAAACUUCUCAUUCAUAUCCUGAAUUGUUUUUCUGAUGUCUUUGUAUUAUUUUUCAGUAUUCUUUUGUAUUUUCCUGAACUUCUUUAAUAUCAGUAUUUUUAAAAUUCUUUUUCUGGGCUUUCACAAAUUUCUUUUUGAUUGGGAUCUGUUACUGAAGACUUAUUGUGUUACUUUGGAGGUGUUUUUAUUUCCUUGCUUUUUCAUAUUUCCUGUGUCCUUACAUUGAUAUCUACACAUCUGAUGUAACAGUAACUCUUCCCAUUUUUUUAAUUUGCUAUUGUAGGGGAAGACUUUUUCAUGAAGAUGUAAGUAUGGUAUUGACUGGGAAGGGCACUUUGCCUUUGAUUUUGGGUACAUGCAGUAGUGUAGUCUCUAUAUGUUUUCUUUAGCUAUAAAUAGCAUUAGUGGUGCUGUGAUUUCCUUGGUGACUUUGGGUGUGGUUUUUAGUAGAUGCUGUGGUGAAAUUUUGCUGGGGAUUGGGAUGCCUGGUAGGCUAGUCUUCAGGCCCCAGUGGUGCCAGCAGUGGGAUGAACACGGCUGCCCUUGAGUCCUAGAGUGUCAUACACUGGCACCAGUGUGAGCAGGUUCAGGCAGGUCAAUUCUUGGGCCUUGAGGUGGCUUGCUCAGGUCUCAGGAAUGGCAGCAGUGGGCUAGGUGGGUUGGCAGUUCUUGAUCCCCUGAGAAGCAGUUAUGGUAUGGAUGAUGGCAAUAGCAGUGGUGGGACAGCCCUUUGAGACCCAAGCAGUCCAAACUGAUGUUGUUAUUGGCUGUGACAGGCUGGGCUGGCCAGGCCCCAGGCUUGCAUUACAGGUGGUGCAUGGGGGUGGGUUUCAACUGUGGUGGUAGUGCCAGGUCGGGUGGGCCUAACCUCAGACCCUGGAAGGAAUGCUCAGGUACUAACAGCAGUGGACUAGGCUGAGUGAUUCCCAGCCUCCUAGGCUCAUGCUCAGGUACUGGGGGAGGGCAAAGCUGGGUUAGGUGGUCUUGCUCUCAGGACCCCAGUGGUGCAUGCAGGCACUGACUGUGGUAGGUGGGGGCAGGGUGAUCUCCAGGCCACCAGGGAAAUGCUUAGGCUGGGGAGCAGUGGCUGUGCUAUAGCCUUGCUACUGGAGAGUGUGGGGUUGCUUUCAGUGGGAGUAGCCAUAGGUAGGUGUCUGGGGGACAUGCACUUUGCUCAUGCCUUGGCCCCACAGCAACUCACAGUGGUGGUUGUGGGCAAUGGAAUUUGUCCUCAGCACCCCCCUCUAUUGCGGGGAUGGUCACUGCUAGUGGUUCCUGCCUCAGCCCUGGAGGCUGCCACUACAGGCAGGGAAUGUCAGUGGGGCUCCAGAGAGGAUGUGGAGAUGCAGGGGCUUUGGGGCCCCAGAGCAGGAUGCAGCCUGUUGAAGGGUAGGCUCUCAAAAUGGUGCCGGGCUGUAGCUGCUUAGGACUUGGGGGGUUGUGGGAUUCAAUGUGAGCUCCCUCCGUGGAGUAAUGCCAUUGCAUGGUCUCCAGGCAGCUCCCUAUGUUAGUCACAGGGCCUGUGAAGGUUGAGGGGCUCUCCAGUGGCUAGGAUUGUAGAAGCCCAUGAUGAGAAUGUGGACCACUGAAGGUGUCUCGUCUACUCUUUCCCUGCAUUAAGGAGCCUCCAGCCUCCCUACCAGUCCUGGCUGAGCAGGAUGCCUCGCUUCUCUCUCUUUGUUUGCUUUUGGUGCCUCCCGUCACUUCCCUGCUGAAUUCCAGUGUUCUCUCUUAGAUGAUCUAUUCAAAGUGUGAUUUUCUACGCACUAUUUUGGUUCCUCUGUGGAAGAGGCAAGUACCAGAUGCAUCUAGUCAGCCAUCUUGAAGCCCCUCUCCAGAGCCAAGUUGCUGGAUUUUAUGUUCCUGGGUUGUCUCAUUCAUUCUUCCCAGAGCCAACACCAUGUUCUGUUUGAUAAGUGUUUCAUAAAUAUUGCUCAGUGAAUGAAAGAAUGGAUGAAUGAAUGCAUAAGUAUGAAUGCCCAGCAUGGAAGCCAUCACUGUGAAUCAAAAAGCUUUUAUUGAGCCCAAUUUGGGGCUGAGAUUCUAAGCAGCAUCUGAUAUAGGAACCUAGAUCUUGUUAUAGACAAAAUCCUUGCUUUGGAGGAUGCAAUAUGCCUCUGAUAGCACUGAGUUCUUCCUUUGGAGGAUUGCAGUAUGUCUCUAACAGCACUGGGACAAACAGAACCAAUCACAAGCAUGGUCACUCAAGUAUGAGGCAGGCAAUGGCCAAAGGGCAUCACAGCUAGAAGAGACUGUGGAGGAUAUCUGAUCCUGUCCCCUCCUUGAGGAUUCUGAGGAUCAGCAGGGUGAAGGCCUUGCCUAAGGCUACUCAGCUGGUCAGCAGCACAGGUGGACCUGGGGCCAAGGCCUCCUGUUCAUUCCAUGUCUCCAGGCUGCCUAAAACCCUGUCUACAUUCUGCUCACCCAGGUCCCUGAAAGCAGCUUCCCCUGUGUCCAGUUGGCCUUGCUCCCCUGCUGUACCAAUCCCAUCCUUUGGGAUGGCAUUUACAUUUUCUUCUAUAGAGCAGAAUCCUUCUUUUUUCCUUCUGUAGAUGCAGGGAGGAUGGAGAGAAUAUCUUUGCCCAGACCCCCAUCUCCUGCUGUGUAGCAUGAGCCACAGGCUAUAAUUGGGCCUGGAGCCAGGCUGCCCACUUCAAGUGUGUUCACACAAGAGAGGAGGCUUAGGCCUCCUCAUGUGUGAAAAGUUCUAGAUGGCUGCUGUACUCUGUGGGACACAUCUCCCUCUUUGUUGAAGAGCAGGCAGAGUAAACAGGGGCUGUUUUGUUGAGACUAAUUUCCUGGUAGCACAUCAUCAUGAAUAUUUACUGGUGUUGAAAAGUGAUGAGGAUCCCUUAGUCCCUACUAUGAAAUCAGAAAUUCUCUAAGACAAGAAGUAAGUAUGUUUCAUAGUUGACACUUUGUACCAAUAGCGCUAAGAGAGAAAAUAGGCAAUUUUUCUGUCUACUAUGGGCCAGUGAGAUGACCUGCUGAAAACUUGGUUUGUCUUUUCAUAAGAAUAAUAACCGUCACUUAAAUAGCACUAACUGUGCCAGACACUAACAUAAGCACUUUAUACAGCUGUCUCUUGGUAUGUGCAGGGGAUUGGUUCCCAGACCUCUGUGUAUGUAUACCCAAAUUGCCACAUACUCAAUUCCCACAGUAAGCCACGUGGAACCUGCAGAAAUGGAACUUGUGGAUUCAAAAAGUAGCCUCUAUAUAUGCAGGUUUCACAUCCAGUGAAUACUGUGUUUGGUUGAAAAAAUCUGCAUAGAAGUGGACCCACACAGUUCAAACUCAUGUUGUUCAAGGGUCAACUCUAUAGAUUAGCAUUCCCAUUUGGGAAAAUGAAGCACACAGGGAGACCAAGUAACUUUUCCAAGUUCACACAAGUAGUGGGUGAUAGAAGCCAGAUUUAUAUGCUUAGAUAGUCUGGCUUCUAAAUCUAUACACUUAGCCACUUCACUUCAUGGUCUGCUUAGAAAGACAGCUUGUCAGUGAGGUGUGCUUGAUGUUUCCCCAAGCCUUAGCAAAGGUAAAAUGGACCCCCAGCAUUUUUAAGGUUUGCCUCCUUAAAAGCACAUUCACACACUCAAACUGUGCUUUUGGAGAACAGAAUGAAUACUUAAGGUUUCAAAGGCUCUCCAGAACUGAAAAGAGGCACAGAGGCUGCAGGAUCAGCAGGAUGGGUGCCAAAACCUGCUGUGGCACCAUGCCUUUGCAAAGGUGGAUCUUCAGAGGAGAAGAACUGUGUGUAUGGCUGAAGGAGUGGACUCUGAGCACUGGGCAGGCCUUUCAAGGUGCCAGAGCUCCUUCCGCACAGUGUUUUCCCGGAGCCAGGGUGCUGAGCUGUGGGAACUAGGUUUGGCCAGCUCCCUGAAAACUUCCACCUGCUAAGAGCUCCAGUUGUCUCCCUGCCAUCGUGAUGAACGUGCUGCAGAGCGCAAAACUGGGGCACAUGAAAAAAUGAAUUGAAAUAAGGAAAUGAAGCAACCUGUAAAAAACCAGCAAACAAGACUAAAUCAGCAAUGAAAAUCAAUGAGGCAAACUCCAUCUGGCCCUGAAAAUGAAUGGAGCACAAAAGGAGGCCUUGCCUCCUGGGGAUUCCUGCUCCAACCGGGCAGACUUACAUUCAUGCCUGCCUGAGGCCAGCCUGGGUUGGCAGCAAGUGCUGAUGUGUUUUUGUAGAGCAGGAUGUUUGGGACAUGUGCUUUUUUCCCUUGACAAUAUAUCGGGGUAUAUUUUUUACCUAAUGAAACUCUAACAGGAAUGAGUUAUAAGUUUCAUGAACACACAGAGCAGAGUUCAGGGAUUUGAAUACAAUGGAACUGUCCCUGAGAGAGGUACAGCUAGUUUGCAUCUAACCGCUUGCAUUUACUAAUUCAUUCCUUCACUCAUCCAUCCUUCCAUUCAUCCAUCCCCCUCUUCCUCUCUGUUUCCACCACCACUGAUCUAGUCCACUCCACAGCACAUCACUCCAAAUGCUUGCUGGGUCCUCCUCUCUGGGCUGCCUUCCUCUGAGCCCUCCUCCACAUGCCUCCAGAGCCUAUUUUCCAAGCCCAAACCUGCUCCACUUUCCUAAUAUUAGCCCUUUAAUGUCCCUCCACUGCUCACACGCAAUACCUACCAUAGCCAAGCUUCUGCCAACCGGCCACAACCUGCCGGAUUGUCCCCCCCAUCACUCCAUUCAUGCGGAAUUACUUCCAGGUCCAUUAAUAAGCUACAUGGACUCAUGCUUUGGUGUGUUUUCUAAUGCAGGUCCCUCAUCCUGGAAUGUGUCCUUUUUGUCUUCUCCCCCAUUUUCUCACCUAUAUGCCUGCUGAUAUAUACUUAAAUAUAAAGACCAAGUGUAGUGGCCAUGAAAGUGUGCCACUCAGACCACUUGCUGCAGAAAGCAUAACUGCCAGUGCCUCCAGCUGUUGCCCUUCUGGUUCUGCUGCCAUGUUCACACGAAGGCCAUGGUGCCAGUGGGCUGCUCCCAGCCAAUGACUGAGUACAACGGGGUGGUAAGGCAGCCCCAUCCAACAAGACAUGAGAUUCCUCUAGGAGGAGACUGGCUCAAGAGUUCUCCAUUGGUCUAGCCAAAUCUUGCCUGGAACUGCUCCUCUGCAAACUGAGACUUUGCCAACCCUAUCCUCCUUUAUCCCUCUCUUCCUCGAUAGGAAUCAGGCCUGCAUUGUGGUCUGAGGGGUCUUCCUGCCUUCUGCUCCCUCCCUCAAUGAAUCUCUUGUAUGUAACCCUCUGUCUCAGUCCAUUUUGUGCCGCUGUAACAAAAUACCACAGGCUGGGUAAUUUAUAAAGAACAGAAAUUUGUUUUCUUACAGUUCUGGAGGAUGGGAAGUCCAAAAUCAAGGUACCAGCAUCUGGUAAGGGCCUUCUUGUCACACCAUAACAUGGCAGAAAGCAUCACAUGAGUGAGAGAUGGGAGGGUGAAGUCAUCUUUUUAAUAAGGAACCCCCUCCUGAGAUAACAAGCCCAAGAUAAUGGCAUUAAUCCAGUCAUGAGGGCAGUGCCCCAGUGACCCAAACCCUUCCCUUUAGGUCCCACAUCCCAACACCACUGCGGCAUUGAGAUCAUUUCCAGCACAUGAACUUUGGAGGACACAUUCAAACCAUAGCACCCUCUCUUUCAGUCUGCUUUUCUGUGAACCUGAACUAAUGUACCAAGUUAACGUCACUUAUUUCUUAAAAAUCUUAACCUCCCUCAAAUAGAAUUGAACUCUCUUUCACUUCGUCCGCUGUACCUUGCAUGUACUUUCAUGAUUAUACCAAUGGUUCUUUACUGUAAUUAUCUGCUUAUAUGGCUGUCCCUGUCACCCAGACUGCAGACCCCAUGAGGCCAAGGGAUUUACUGUCUUAUUUGUCUUAUUAACAUCACUGCCUAGUACAGUGCCUGUUAUAUUCAGAUGCACCAUAAAUGCUUAUGAGAUGGAUGAAUAAUUGAUCUAUUUAUUCAUUUAUCAGUUCUCAUCACCCUAGACUCUGUGUCAGGUACUGAGAAUAGGGAGAUUAAUGAACCGGAAUCCCUGACUUUAAUAUACUCUUAGGCUGAUCAGUGGGAUUAGCAUGUAGAUAAUGACAUUAAAAGUGAGAAUGGAAUAGCUUCUUUCAAAGUGGUAUAAGCAAAAUGAAUUAAGAAACCAGAAGAAAGUAUAAUUGCUCUCACUGGGAAUGGAGGAUGGAGGAGGAAUCAGUGAGGGCUUCCUAGAGACAGCAUUUGGAUUGGGCCAUGUGGGAUCUGUAAGAUUUAUACAAGGGGUGUAGGACAGGAAGGGCCUUCCAGGCCAGAGAAACUACGUAAACAAGGGCACCAAAGUGUGUUGUGACGAGGGCCAUUUUGUUAACUUCUGUCAUGAAAAUUUUCAAAUAGACACACAAAAAAGAAGGUAAUGCAUGUUUUACCUUCUUGUUUUGUUGUUUUAGCUAAAUAAGGCUUUAUUUAUUUAUUUAUUUAUUUUUGAGACAGUCUCACUCUAUUGCCCAGGCUGCAGUGCACUGGCUCAAUCUCGGCUCACUGUGACCUCCACCUCCCGGGUUCAAGUGAUUCUCCUGCCUCAGCCUCCCUAGUAGCUGGGAUUAUAGGCACCUACCACCACACCUGGUUAAUUUUUGUAUUUUUAGUAGAGACAGGUUUCAGUAUGUUGGUCAGGCUGGUCUCGAACUCCUGACCUCAAGCAAUCCACCCGCCUCGGCCUCCCAAAGUGCUGGGAUUACAGGGGCUUUAUUUAUUUGAUGUUUGUUUACUCUGUCUGAUUCUCUAGGGUCUCCAUCUGCCUUGGAACUCAGAAAGCAGCCUUCACCUUGUUUGUUUCAGUAGCUCCAUAUUGUCAAUCUCCUUGACUGACUUUCCCAAGUCACAUCUGGCAGGCUCUGUGGCCAGGACUGAUGUCCGUGAGGCUUCAGGCAUUUGGCUGGACAAGCAGAAACCUUCAGUGAAUAUCCACAGUCAGUCCCUGGGCAGAGGACUGACUGGCCCCUGAGGACUGGAACCUGGAGUGGGCACGGGGCAUCAUACACUUCGUCUACCAUCAUCUACUGUUGGAAGGAAAACCCUGGCCUAGGAAGGAUUUGGAAGGUGGGAGAAAAGACGUGGAGGAGAGAAGGAAAAGAACCAACUGCCUGCAGUCUGGGUGAUCCUGCUUCUGUGCUUGCCAGCCUUGCUUGCAGCUUCUAUUGGGCACAGAGGGAGCUGGACUAGCAGGCAGACACUCUCAAAGAUGGCUGGCUGCAUCUGUGUGCGGUGCCUCUCAGCCAGCCGGACUCCUCUCAACCGCGUGCUGGCAGCAAAAACUCCAAAUCUCUGGUCACUCCAAAGGCUAUUCUAGAAAAACCUCUGGUCUGGGGGACCAAGGCCUAACUGAAGGUAGGGGAGGCCACUCCUGCUGUCCAACCCAAGGUCUCUUCGCUGCUUCUACCCUACAUUAAAUUACCAAAUAAAGUCUGAAGUACAGA